rnacentral:rRNA from 1 species
GACGAACGCUGGCUGCGUGCUUAACACAUGCAAGUCGAACGCUGAAACCCUGGUGCUUGCACCGGGGUGGAUGAGUGGCGAACGGGUGAGUAACACGUGAGUAACCUGCCCCCGACUUCGGGAUAAGCGCGGGAAACUGGGUCUAAUACCGGAUAUGAGCGCCCCUCGCAUGAGGGAUGCUGGAAAGUCUUUUCGGUUGGGGAUGGGCUCGCGGCCUAUCAGUUUGUUGGUGAGGUAAUGGAUCACCAAGACGACGACGGGUAGCCGGCCUGGGAGGGCGACCGGCCACACUGGGACUGAGACACGGCCCAGACUCCUACGGGAGGCAGCAGUGGGGAAUAUUGCACAAUGGGGGAAACCCUGAUGCAGCGACGCAGCGUGCGGGAUGACGGCCUUCGGGUUGUAAACCGCUUUCAGCAGGGAAGAAGCCCCUUGGGGUGACGGUACCUGCAGAAGAAGUACCGGCUAACUACGUGCCAGCCGCCGCCGUAA